rnacentral:rRNA from 1 species
AUAGUGACCCUAAUCAUGCUCGCGAGAAAAACCUCUAAGGCUCGGUUAUUACAACCCGUACCGUAAACCGACACAGGUAGUCGAGAAGAGUAUUCUAAGGCGCUCGGGUGAGCCACGGAGAAGGAACUAGGCAAAUUGUAGCUGUAACUUCGGGAUAAAGCUAUCCCUCCGCAAGGGGGGAUUCAAUGAAAUGGUUCAACCAACUGUUUAGCAAAAACACAGGGCCCUGCAAAAUCGAAAGAUGACGUAUAGAGCCUGAUACCUGCCCGGUGCUGGAAGGUUAAGGAAGCUUGUUAGCAGCAAUGCGAAGCUUGUGACCGAAGCCCCAGUAAACGGCGGCCGUAACGAUAACGGUCCUAAGGUAGCGAAAUUCCUUGUCGGGUAAGUUCCGACCUGCACGAAUGGUCUAAUGAGUUGAACACUGUCUCCUCCGUGAGCCCGGUGAAAUUGUAGUAUCGGUGAGGAUGCCGGUUACCCGCCACGGGACGAAAAGACCCCGUGAACCUUCACUACAACUUUGCAUUGAUUUUGAGUAACAGAUGUGUAGCAUAGUUGGGAGACUUUGAAGCAGUGGCGCCAGCCAUUGUGGAGUCAACGUUGAAAUACCAACCUUCUGUUACUUAGAGUCUAAUCCGCGUAAGUGGAGACAUUGCAUGGUGGGUAGUUUGACUGGGGUGGUCGCCUCCUAAAGUGUAACGGAGGCUCGCAAAGGUACCCUCAGUACGGUUGGUAAUCGUACGCAGAGCGCAUUAGUAAAAGGGUGCUUGACUGUGAGACUGACUAGUCGAGCAGGUGCGAAAGCAGGCUAAAGUGAUCCGGUGGUUUCCGUAUGGAAGGGCCAUUGCUCAAAGGAUAAAAGGUACUCCGGGAUGACAGGCUGAUCUCCCCCAAGAGCUCAUAUCGACGGGGAGGUUUGGCACCUCGAUGUCGGUUCGUCACAUCCUGGGGCUGGAGAAGGUCCCAAGGGUUCGGCUGUUCGCCGAUUAAAGUGGCACGUGAACUGGGUUCAGAACGUCGCAAGACAGUUCGGUCUCUAUCUGUGGUGGGCGUUAGUAAAUUGCGAGGACAUGCUCUUAGUACGAGAGGACCGGAGCGUAUGUACCGCUGGUGUAUCUGUUGUUCCGCCAGGGGCAGUGCAGAGUAGCUAUGUACAGUCAGGAUAAGCGCUGAAAGCAUCUAAGCGCGAAACCUUCCUCAAGAUGAGUUUACUUUUAAGUGCCGUGGAAGACUACCACGUUGAUAGGCUACAGGUGUAAAGGUGGUAACAUCAAAGCCGAGUAGUACUAAUUGCACGUAAGCUUUAACCA